AUGCAAGUCGAGGGCAGUCACGGGAGUAGCAAUACAACGUGGUGGCGACCGGCGCACGGGUGAGUAACGCGUAUGCAACCUACCUAUCAGAGGGGAAUAACCCGGCGAAAGUCGGACUAAUACCGCAUAAAACAGGGGCACCGCAUGGUGAUAUUUGUUAAAGAAAUUCGCUGAUAGAUGGGCAUGCGUUCCAUUAGGGUAGUUGGUGAGGUAACGGCUCACCAAGCCGACGAUGGAUAGGGGAACUGAGAGGUCGGUCCCCCACACUGGUACUGAGACACGGACCAGACUCCUACGGGAGGCAGCAGUGAGGAAUAUUGGUCAAUGGGCGGGAGCCUGAACCAGCCAAGUCGCCGUGAAGGAAGAAGGAUCUAUGGUUCGUAAACUUCUUUUGCAGGGGAAUAAAGUGCAGGACGUGUCCUGUUUUGUAUGUACCCUGAGAAUAAGGAUCGGCUAACUCCGUGCCAGCAGCCGC
rnacentral:rRNA from 1 species